AAGGGAAGGGAAGGGAAGGGAAGGGAAGGGAAGGGAAGGGAAGGGAAGGGAAGGGAAGGGAAGGGAAGGGAAGGGAAGGGAAGGGAAGGGAAGGGAAGGGAAAAUGUAGUUGGGGUAGGGGCAGGUAACCUGCUGUGUGCCUUCUUAGAUACUGUGACAAAUAGAUCAAAACUGGGCACCCAUCUUUAACAGACACCACCACACACACAUUCCGAACUGCCAUUCCUGUGAUGCCAGUCCACAGAAAAUGUUUUCAUUUCAGUGACCCUGAGCAUGACUCCCAUGCUGCCACAUAUACUGUCCUCAGAGCGACCCUCCGUAGCCUCUCACCCUCAUUAACCCUCACCACUACACACCUGCCCAGUCCACCACUCCCGAGUAUUCUUAGCAACUAUAUACUAGCAUCCAGUUCCCAAUUUUGUGCUUAAAAUGAGUGACUGCAUUCAAUAAACUCACUGUGUUUAACUCGUUCUUGAAUGUAAAUAUUUUCCUUCUUAUUGACCUAUAUUGUUCCCUGUUUGAACAUUAAAUAUUUCAAUGAAUUAAUAAUAGAAGUUCAUUAUUUUAGCUCUCCUCUGAUAUUAAAAUAAAAGCCUAGUUUUCUUUUUUUUUUUCUUUAAGUCUUGGUACCUUAGGUAAUACCUGGGUUUUGUUUUGCUAUUUCUGACGGAGCUUAGAAAGGCAUUUGACUAUUUUUAUUACUUAAGGAGAAAAUGACCCAUCCUCCAUACCAACUGAGUCGUAAGGGUCAAAAGCCAAGUGCUUUUAAUAACUUUUUAAGAGUGAGUUAUCUUUGUUCACUUUGAAGACUGUGGUAUGUACUAAUUUCUUUGUAAAACGAAAGAGAUGUUGCUAUAGCUAAUGGCCCAUGCAGUGGCACCACGGGAUACUAGGUCCCAGUGUCUCCUGUGGCUUGGGCUGCCGUUUUUUUAUGCCCAACUCAUUGUUUGUUGAUUAAAUACAGUUUGAGUAAUGUUUGAAAUUGUCCUUUCUUCCACGAAGCCUUGUCUCAACAAAUAAUCUCUAGGAAGAUUAUUAAUUAACUCAUAGCAAGGUUAUUUCAUUAAACAUUUCAGACAUUCAAGAUAUACAAGUCUCAACCGCUAACAAGUAAUAAAACCUUCCCAUUCCUGUGAAGGUCCCUGUACACCGCUCCUGGUUGGCAUCACCCACCCUGCUUUCUCCUUGUAGCUGAGGCUUACCAUGGUGGUUUUAUCUCAUCAUAUGUUUAGACCUUCCAAACAGUAUUAAUUAUCUCUGUACAUUUGGAAGCAUCAAGGAGCGUAGCACUGCAAGUAUCUGUCAGCAACUCUCCUGGCUCAGGCUUAAGCUCCUGAUAUCCAUUCAUGUUCCAAUCCAAUGUGCUCAUCCUUAUUGCUGCUAAGGAGCCAUGCAAUAAUUAACUCGCGUUUAGAUUCCUUAUAGCUACAUGCUGAUACAGGUACUUGCUGUUGCAAAUAUUUUUGUUCACAUCUCCAUAUUAUGUCUGUGUAGAAGCUUCUAGGUGGUGAAGUAAUUCAUCAAAGGAUAAAGUUUCAUAGCCCAAGCUAUGCACAUAUAGCCAGAGAAUUUAACAAGUAUUUCCCAAAUACCAAAGGUUCAUAAGAAUACCCACCUCGGAAAGAAACUCCACAUUGUAUAAAGAGCACAGAAUAGUUGCUUUUAAAAAUAUUAAAAUGUAAAUGAUAUAGAUAAUAGGAUACCAACAAUGUCAAAUGUAUACAUGCAUGUAUAGACAUAUAUACAUAAAAGCAUGUUUAUAAAUUAUUUUGCAUAUCAUGAACAAUAUUAAAGUAUUAAUAUGAUUAAACAAAUACUACAUGAACAAAGUUAUUUAAUUUUGGAAACGUACAUUCAAGAGUACUAUAUUGGUGUCCAUCUUCCUCCUGCUGCAACUACUUCCAUGAUCCCUCAUACCCUUUAAAAUUCACCACAACUUUAUUAUUCUUGUUAUAUAGCACAAGAACCCACAUACCCAGCAAACCCAGAAGCAGUACUUGAGCCUGAAGAGAGGAAUAUGCCAAUACAAGAGGCUACAGCAAGGGAACAAAUGAAGCUAUAAUUUCUGAAACACAAAAUACAACUAAAAACAC
rnacentral:lncRNA from 1 species